rnacentral:rRNA from 1 species
UACAGAGGGUGCGAGCGUUAAUCGGAAUUACUGGGCGUAAAGCGUGCGUAGACGGUUAUUUAAGUCGGGUGUGAAAGCCCCGGGCUCAACCUGGGAAUUGCAUUCGAGACUGAAUAGCUAGGGUACGGUAGAGGGAAGUGGAAUUUCCGGUGUAGCGGUGAAAUGCGUAGAUAUCGGAAGGAACAUCAGUGGCGAAAGCGACUUCCUGGCCUGUUCUUGACGCUGAGGCGCGAAAGCUAGGGUAGCAAACGGG